rnacentral:misc_RNA from 1 species
CCACAACACUUCUCCCUCUCCUCCUUCCAGCCAACACGCGCAUCCUCCCUGCCUUCUUCUUCCUCACUGCUCACGGCACCAACAGCCACCAGCAAGCUCCCUCUCCUCCCAUGGCGUCCUCCCCUUCUCCCCCUCGGCUACAGCUGCUCGACGCCCACUACUCCUUCUCCCUCACGCAGCAGCAGCCGGCGCCCCUUUUUCUUCUUCCCUGGUCUCCACGGCAACCAGCAGGGAGCUCGGUUUCUUCUCCAUGGCGCUCCCUCCCUGCAGGUCGCCAGCGGCCUCUCCCCGGCCGGCGCUCCCUAUCCUCCCCCCGGCGCGUGCCCCUACGGAC